AUAAAUGUGAUGUUAAAAUUUUCACUAUUUCCUCCAACAUUUUUUACUCUCCCUCAAAUUUUUAUUGGGCCAAAAAAUAAUAAUUCAUAAACAUAAAUUUUUCAAAAAAAAAAAUUCAUAAAUCAGAAAAAUCAUCAUCUGUGAAGAACAACGCAUUUUCCCGCAAAUCAGAAAGAAAAUCUUCCGUGGAGAACGAUGCCAUUUCUCCUAGUAUGAAACUUCUCAAGAACGAUCGAUCAAGGACAGAAAGGGUUUUCUCAAGAUCUCUGGUUGAAUAUUUUUCAGUUUCUCAUAGAUUUAUCAUUGUUCCUCAAGGACAGAAAGGGUUUUGUUUGAAUCUGGGAUUAUUAGGAAAUAAGGCAACAAAAGUUUUCUUUGCGUCGGUUUCGUUUUUGCGUGUGAAAUACCUGCUCCAACAAUUUUAGCGUCGGUUUAGUUUAUGCGCCACAUCGAUUUGGUAGUCUAUUCGUCCACCCUCCCUUUAUCUUCUUCUUUAAUUGACAGGCCACCUCUUUCUCUUUUUUCUUCCCUAUUAUUUAGUUUAGUUGUACUCAAUAUUCACUUCUUAUUUCAAUGAAGUUUCAGUUUCUUAAUUUGAAUUCGAAUUAUUAAUUUCAGGCAUUCGUUUAAUUUUGGAUUCUGUUUUUAUUGCAUUCAGGCGGUGGAGGAUCCAAGUAAUAGUGCCUAAGAUUUGAACUUGGAAUCUUAAGCGUGCUUGUGCUCGGCUAUCCUUAAGCUAGGGUUGACACAAAUACGAGGGUGCAUGCUGUUUAUUCGAUCACUUGUGUGCAAAUGGAGUAUUCUCAUUGGACUCGUGAUAUGUAAGAAGAUGUAAUUCCACUUUGUAGGUAUGCUCGUAUCUGAUGAAUGUUGUAACUGAUAGAUUAAGAUCACUUCAAUGACCAACAUAGUUGAAGAUAAAACCACAAUCUUUAUCAUAUAGUAUAUGAACUGGUUAGUCAUUAAGCUAUCUGUAGAUACCAGAAAGAACUUCAAGAAUUGGCUAAUAUAUUUCCUGCUUCCGAAUUAUUGCAUACAGCCCCCUAGGCCAGGGGUUCUGUUGUGGGAAGGAAAUCACAGAAAGCUUGCCUGCGGAAAGUCAGAUGGAUCUUGCUGCUUUAGAGUAUUUUUCAUAUGUAGAUCUUCCACCACACUAUAUGGAUUCUUUCAAGUCGUAUGACCCAGUAGGAGGUGAGCAUUUCAACGCUUUUGCGGCUGGUCUAAUACAACAGACCGUGUAGUUACAGUUAGUCAUGGAUAUCCAUGAGAAUCUAAGACUUCGGAAGGUGGUUGCGGAUUCAUCAGAUAAUUAAUGAGAACGAUUAGAAAUUACGGGGUAUCGUGAGUGGGAUGAUACAAAAGAGUGGAACCCUGAGUUGGACGUUCACUUCAAGUCAGAUGGUUACGUGAAUUGCUCCUUGGGCACACUGCAGACUGGCAAGCCUUAAUGUAAACCUGCAUUGCUGAACAAACUUGGUUUACCAGUUCGUGAUGAUUUCCUACUGAUCGGUUUCAUUGGGAGGCUUGACCCACAAAAGGGUGUUGAUCUGAUUGCUGAGGAAGUGCCUUGGAUGAUGGAUCAGGAUGUACAACUGGUCAUGUUGGGUACGGGGAGGCCUGACCUUGAACAGAUGCUAAGGCAAAUUGAGUGUCAACACAAUUAUAAAAUUUGAGGCUGCGUUGGUAUCUCUGUGAAGACUUCUCAUGGUUUAACUGUUUAUGUAGACAUUCUGUUCAUGCUAAGCCUAUUGUCAUAGUUUUUUUUGACUGCAUUUGAUUUUGUGGAAUUAUUAAUAGUAAAUAUCUUUAAGCAAUCACUUUCUAAGUAUUGAUUGUACAAGAAAUGUUUUUGUAACUUAUUCGUAAUAUAUAGCUUUGAUUUAUUUAUUGGCUAA